GGGCCCGUAGCUCAGCCAGGCAGAGCGUCCGGCUCUUAACCGGAAGGUCGCGGGUUCAAAUCCCGCCGGGCCCGCCA
rnacentral:tRNA from 1 species